rnacentral:rRNA from 1 species
GAUGAACGCUAGCGGGAGGCCUAACACAUGCAAGCCGAGCGGUAGAGAUUCUUCGGAAUCUUGAGAGCGGCGUACGGUGCGGAACACGUGUGCAACCUACCUUUAUCUGGAGGAUAGCCUUUCGAAAGGAAGAUUAAUACUCCAUAAUAUAUUGAUUGGCAUCAAUUGAUAUUGAAAGCUCCGGCGGAUAGAGAUGGGCACGCGCAAGAUUAGUUAGUUGGUGAGGUAACGGCUCACCAAGACGAUGAUCUUUAGGGGGCCUGAGAGGGUGAUCCCCACACUGGUACUGAGACACGGACCAGACUCCUACGGGAGGCAGCAGUGAGGAAUAUUGGUCAAUGGGUGCAAGCCUGAACCAGCCAUCCCGCGUGAAGGACGACUGCCCUAUGGGUUGUAAACUUCUUUUGUAUAGGGAUAAACCUACCCUCGUGAGGGUAGCUGAAGGUACUAUACGAUAAGCACCGGCUAACUCCGUGCCAGCAGCCGCGGUAAU